GCCGAAGGGAAACCGAGUCUUAACUGGGCGUUAAGUUGCAGGGUAUAGACCCGAAACCCGGUGAUCUAGCCAUGGGCAGGUUGAAGGUUGGGUAACACUAACUGGAGGACCGAACCGACUAAUGUUGAAAAAUUAGCGGAUGACUUGUGGCUGGGGGUGAAAGGCCAAUCAAACCGGGAGAUAGCUGGUUCUCCCCGAAAGCUAUUUAGGUAGCGCCUCGUGAAUUCAUCUCCGGGGGUAGAGCACUGUUUCGGCAAGGGGGUCAUCCCGACUUACCAACCCGAUGCAAACUGCGAAUACCGGAGAAUGUUAUCACGGGAGACACACGGCGGGUGCUAACGUCCGUCGUGAAGAGGGAAACAACCCAGACCGCCAGCUAAGGUCCCAAAGUCAUGGUUAAGUGGGAAACGAUGUGGGAAGGCCCAGACAGCCAGGAUGUUGGCUUAGAAGCAGCCAUCAUUUAAAGAAAGCGUAAUAGCUCACUGGUCGAGUCGGCCUGCGCGGAAGAUGUAACGGGGCUAAACCAUGCAC
rnacentral:rRNA from 1 species